UAUAUGCUCCCUCCAUCCUGAAAUACUUGUCCUAGAAAUGGAUAAAAUGGAUGUAUCUAUAACUAAAAUAAGUCUAGAUACAACCAUUUUUAUGACAAAUAUUUUCGGACGAAGGGAGUAGUUU
rnacentral:pre_miRNA from 1 species